rnacentral:lncRNA from 1 species
AUGAGCUUUGCUUCGCCUCCCCAUUCUCAGCUCCUUCCCCAAACCCCAGGCACCUGUAGCGCUUGGACCUGGAGCUGGCCCUGUUCGCCAGCACGGCCCACAGCAGGGCCUGCAAGAGGACCAGGGGCUCCGCUGGGACUUCAAUCGGCCGCCACCUCGCGGGAGCAAAACCUCAGGGAUGCAGGGGAUGGAGAAUGGAGGAGGGUGGUUCAAGAGCCUCCCAUUUCUCAAGGGUCCCGUCACCUCUCUGCCUGCCGAGGGGGGGGACGCAACGCAUCGCCGGCAAGGGCACUACGCACCACGCACGAGACGCAGGGCGCCUUUGAGAGAGGCGUCUGCACUGAACCCGAAAUCGCAGACUCCCGGGGAAAUCCCAGCUCGUUUCCGCCCUUCCUGUUCAACCGGGGCUCCUCCAGCAUCGCUGCACCCGGCGCAAAACCCUCGAGGAAACCGGCUCGUCACCGCCGCCGCACCGACCAGGGGGAAGAGCCGUUCGCUGAAGUCGCAGCUGGGGAGGUUUCACAUCGCGCUUCUGCAUUUCUCAGCUGCGGGGGGGGGUCAGAAACCCCUGUCGCGAGGCCGCCGCCGCGCUCCCGGCCCCAGAGCGAUGGGAGCAAGGAUGGCGCAGGGAAGGGGGAGCGCCUUCACCCCGCCGCAAGGCCCACGGGGCUGGCGUGGACCUGCUCCGCGGGUCACAAGCCAUCGGCGGCAGUAGCCCCGUCAAGGAUCUCUAGGCGCGCGGCUACCUUGAUUUCCCGAAUCCUGCAAACCGGCUGCCUACGAGCUGCUACGGCCCUAGCUCCCAGGCUGCGGCUCGGUUCAGCCAGGAGCGGGGACGUUGUGACCCGGACACCGCUGGUCCUGUCCCUCCUGCCAACGUGCCACCUUAGGGCACCAGAGCAAGCUGCAAAACCAGGGGAGCGGAGAAGCCCGAGGAGAUCUUGGCAAAGAGCCGGAGCUGAACUCAAGCCAGGCAGUCGCUUGGCUGCGGAUACGGCUGACCGGUGGGUCACAGGCAGGGGAGCAAGCGCCAAGCCGGGGGUGAGCCGGAAUUUCGCUCCCCGAGGCACGUUGGCAGCGGCCGCGGGGUCGCCAGCGGGAGCACGCACACCGCCACCGUCUCCCAUCGGUGCCGAGCGCAGACGGUAUCAGACCGUAAAGGUGCCGUCUCGGGGAGGCUGCAGCUGUUUUGCUCAGGGGCGAAAGCUGGUGAAGAUGAAAACAGGGAGAAAGAACUAA